rnacentral:rRNA from 1 species
CCCCCCUUUUAAAAGUGUAGAAUGACCUCAUGUAUGCGUUAACCCGCAAUCAAUACAACUUUCAACAACGGAUCUCUUGGCUCUCGCAUCGAUGAAGAACGCAGCGAAAUGCGAUACGUAAUGUGAAUUGCAGAAUUCAGUGAAUCAUCGAAUCUUUGAACGCACCUUGCGCCCCUUGGUAUUCCGAGGGGNACACCCGUUUGAGUGUCGUGAAAACUUCAACCUCCUUGGUUUCUUCUGGAGACCAAAGCAGGCUUGGACUUUGGAGGCCCUUUGCUGGCACCUCUCUUGAGAGAGGCCAGCUCCUCUUAAACAAAUUAGCGGGGUCCUCUUUGCUGAUCCUCGACGUGUGAUAAGAUGUUUCCAUGUCUUGGUUUCUGGCUCUGUCACUUUUGGGACCCGCUUCUAACCGUCUGGACCUUGCGUCGAGACAACGCUCGAGCAAUGUGCCUCCCCUUCUCGGGAAGCUCCCUCGACCCCACGAACCCUUGACCUCAAAUCGGGUGAGACUACCCGCUGAACUUAAGCAUAUCAAUAAGCGGAGGAAAAGAAACUAACAAGGAGUCCCCUAGUAACUGCGAGUGAAGCGGGAAAAGCUCAAAUUUAAAAUCUGGCUGCCU